UCAUCUCCGGGGGUAGAGCACUGUUUCGGCUAGGGGGCCAUCCCGGCUUACCAACCCGAUGCAAACUGCGAAUACCGGAGAAUGUUAUCACGGGAGACACACGGCGGGUGCUAACGUCCGUCGUGAAGAGGGAAACAACCCAGACCGCCAGCUAAGGUCCCAAAGUCAUGGUUAAGUGGGAAACGAUGUGGGAAGGCCCAGACAGCCAGGAUGUUGGCUUAGAAGCAGCCAUCAUUUAAAGAAAGCGUAAUAGCUCACUGGUCGAGUCGGCCUGCGCGGAAGAUGUAACGGGGCUAAACCAUGCACCGAAGCUGCGGCAGCGACACUUUAGUGUUGUUGGGUAGGGGAGCGUUCUGUAAGCCGUUGAAGGUGUCCUGUGAGGGGUGCUGGAGGUAUCAGAAGUGCGAAUGCUGACAUAAGUAACGAUAAAGCGGGUGAAAAGCCCGCUCGCCGGAAGACCAAGGGUUCCUGUCCAACGUUAAUCGGGGCAGGGUGAGUCGACCCCUAAGGCGAGGCCGAAAGGCGUAGUCGAUGGGAAACGGGUUAAUAUUCCCGUACUUGGUGUUACUGCGAAGGGGGGACGGAGAAGGCUAUGUUGGCCGGGCGACGGU
rnacentral:rRNA from 1 species